UACAGAGGUGGCGAGCGUUAUUCGGAAUUAUUGGGCGUAAAGGGCGCGAAGGCGGCCCUGUAAGUCAACGGUGAAAUCCCUCGGCUCAACCGAGGACGUGCAUCCGAAACUACAGUGCUCGAGUAUGGAAGAGGGUCGCGGAAUUCUCGGUGUAGAGGUGAAAUUCGUAGAUAUCGGGAGGAACACCAGUGGCGAAGGCGGCGACCUGGGCCAAUACUGACGCUGAGGUGCGAAAGCGUGGGGAGCAAACAGG
rnacentral:rRNA from 1 species